AUUGAACGCUGGCGGCAGGCCUAACACAUGCAAGUCGAGCGGAUGAGAGGAGCUUGCUCUUCGAUUCAGCGGCGGACGGGUGAGUAAUGCCUAGGAAUCUGCCCAGUAGUGGGGGACAACGUUUCGAAAGGAACGCUAAUACCGCAUACGUCCUACGGGAGAAAGUGGGGGAUCUUCGGACAUCACGCUAUUGGAUGAGCCUAGGUCGGGUUAGCUAGUUGGUAGGGGAAAGGCCUACCAAGGCGACGAUCCGUAACUGGUCUGAGAGGAUGAUCAGUCACACUGGAACUGAGACACGGUCCAGAAUCCUACGGGAGGCAGCAGUGGGGAAUAUUGGACAAUGGGCGAAAGCCUGAUCCAGCCAUGCCGCGUGUGUGAAGAAGGCCCUCGGGUCGUAAAGCACUUUAAGUUGGGAGGAAGGGCUUACAGCGAAUACCUGUGAGUUUUGACGUUACCGACAGAAUAAGCACCGGCUAACUUCGUGCCAGCAGCCGCAGUAA
rnacentral:rRNA from 1 species